UACAACGUUUGACAUGUUUGAAUGAACCUAAAUGGGAAAAAAACGUUUUAUUUCGAAACGGCUGUGCCGCGCCCGGCAGAGUAUUUGGAUACAGCAUUCAGACGCGCUAACAACAGAAAGCUAAUGGAACAUAAAUGAUGGACUUUUUAGACCGAAAAUACAUCUGUUGUGGACCUGGGAUUCCUGGAAGUGCUUUCUGAUGAAGACAACUAAAGACAAUACCAUGUGGUGCCUGGGCUUCUUCCUGAGUGGAUUCCAGAUAGAAAGAAACAUAAUUCCUCUGCUUUCCUGCGCCAUUGUAGCAGAACUGUAUCCCGUGAUCUGUAUCCCUCUGGACGGAUUGGACAUUAUGCUGGAUUUCAAGCAGAAAAUUACUCGAG
rnacentral:lncRNA from 1 species